UACGUAGGGUGCAAGCGUUGUCCGGAAUUAUUGGGCGUAAAGAGCUCGUAGGCGGUCUGUCGCGUCGGCUGUGAAAUCCCGAGGCUCAACCUCGGGUCUGCAGUCGAUACGGGCAAACUAGAGUAUUGCAGGGGAGACUGGAGUUCCUGGUGUAGCGGUGAAAUGCGCAGAUAUCAGGAGGAACACCGGUGGCGAAGGCGGUUCUCUGGGCAUUACCUGACGCUGAGGAGCGAAAGCGUGGGGAGCAAACAGG
rnacentral:rRNA from 1 species